CUAGACUCGCUCUUCAGGUGCCAACAAUACGCAUGCGCUAAUCCAGCAGCGCCCUGUUGCCUUCCUGGCGCCAUCUUUAGUGUGGCCUUAUUGGAACUCCUGGGAGGCUCCUCCCCUCUGGGCGGGGCCAGGCACGGAGGCCGGCUGGGGGGCGGAGCUCUAGUCCCCAGGACCAGUGCUUCUAUAUCCUGGGAAAUUUCCCAAACUCUGGGAAUUUUUGAGUAAAAUGUUUCAACUUGGGAAAUUGGGAAUUUUCAUUCAACACCUAAAUAAUCCUGGGAAAAUUUCAUAAAAAGUCAAAGACUCCAAAUCUCAAAAAUCCUGGGAAGUUUUCAUAAAAAGUAAAAUAUUUGCGCUUCUUUUAAAUUUCCCUCAAAAUGCGUUCUUCGAUUGGUGAAUAUCUGUCAUGUGAUUUUCAUAAUCGGGCCAUGCCGCUCUCCUAUUGGUGGUGCUUCAAUGGACUAUAUCAUGAUGGCACAAGAGAAGUGACAAGUGCGCACAUGCACUGGAAACAAACCAACCUCAGCAACAGUUGGCUGGCAGGUAAUGAGGCGAUGGUUAUCAAAUUUAUCUUCUAGUUGCACAGAGAAUGUGGACCAGAGCAUUCGGCGGUUCAUAAAUUUGUAACAGCACCUUCCUCCAGGCAAAUAUUAAAUAUCUUCGCCUACUGUGUUAGAGAUCUCUUUCCAUUUUUUAUCUAACAUAAAAAAUGACUAAAGGGACCAGUACGGCUGGUGAGAAGAGGAAGAGGACUGCAGGAGUAGACAAAGAUCCGUCCACGUUGAAACGAAAACAACGGGAUAGCACCCCCGACAGAGUAUUGAAGACUCGGGGUGAACUUCCACCAAAGAGAAGCCAUCUACUUUCAAAAAAGCCUUUCAAGACUCGUGGCUUCAAGAAGGUAAAUACAAAGACUGGCUGCAGAAAGUAGAAAACAAUCGUUUUUUAGCUUAUUGCAAAUGUUGUGAUGUAAAAAUCCAGGCAGGUACUAG